CCCUGCAGCCCUAUAUCAAACUGCAACUCACAACUGGCAGCCCACUGAAGCCCAGCAGGUGUGAGCCUGGUCAGUACCUGGAUGGGAGACCUCCUGGGAAAAACUAAGGUUGCUGCUGGAA
rnacentral:rRNA from 1 species